UGUCAGGGAUGGGCUAUCAGGGU
rnacentral:misc_RNA from 1 species